UACAGAGGGUGCGAGCGUUAAUCGGAAUUACUGGGCGUAAAGGGUGCGUAGGUGGUUUUUUAAGUCGUUUGUGAAAUACACGGGCUCAACCUGUGUGCUGCGGACGAUACUGGAAAGCUAGAGUAGAGUAGAGGGAAGUGGAAUUCCCGGUGUAGCGGUGAAAUGCGUAGAUAUCAGGAGGAACACCGGUGGCGAAGGCGGGUCUCUGGGCCGAUACUGACGCUGAGGAGCGAAAGCGUGGGGAGCGAACAGG
rnacentral:rRNA from 1 species